CAAUUUUCUCUGCAUUAGUCUAAUAAUCUUUUUUUUUUUUAAAGAGUGAAAUGACUCUCUUAUGUCUUAUGAGCCUUCCGAAUAUAAUAUAAUAAUCAAUGUUGUUUUCAAAACAACUGGUAAGACUUAAGGUAAGGGUUGACAUAUGGUUCAAACAGAAACAACUUGAUUGUAAAGCUUAGUUAUUAAUUCUGACUGGUUAAGGUAAGGGUUAAGUUUAGGCAUUGAUUCUGACUGGUUAAGGUAAGGGUUAAGUUUAGGCAUUGAUUCUGACUGGUUAAGGUAAGGGUUAAAUUUAGGCAUUUAUUCUGACUGGUUAAGGUAAGGGUUAAGUUUAGGCAUUUAUUCUGACUGGUUAAGGUAAGGGUUACGUUUAGGCAUUUAUUCUGACUGGUUAAGGUAAGGGUUAAGUUUAGGCAUUUAUUCUGACUGGUUAAGGUAAGGGUUAAGUUUAGGCAUUCAUUCUGACUGGUUAAGGUAAGGGUUAAGGCUUGGGAUAGAAACCAUGAUACUAGGAGUCGUAGCUAGCGAUUCAAGCCCUUCCUCUAUCCUCGUCCACAACGCCCUAGCAAGUCGGGACGCUCACGUUGCCCUUACUGGACGUUAUCGAAGGGAUCUCCUGACAUCCUGGAGACCUGGAUGAACGUCUAAUACUGCCGUGGUUUUGACCUAGCUGACAAUCCUGUACAAGGAGGAGGAACAAGAAAAACGGAUUUACCUUCUCCUCUCCUUGUGUCUCAUUUCAUUAUUUUCAGUGAUUUAUCUAUUACUGGCCAGUUAACCAAAUGACAGCUUUCAGAUAGGAGGGACAAAAUUCAUUUCCUUAGUCAUUAGACUACGGAUGUAUGCGUAUGUCCAUAGGUCUGCCUGCGUUCUGGCCACAGCCUGGUUACCAUGAGAACGCCAUGGAGGAUGGCAUUACUGCGUUACUCUGACAUCACCAGACAGUGACUCAUACUCUUUGGGUUGUGUUGUUGUGAGUGUGAGUGUGAUUGUGUGUGUGUGUGUGUGUGUGUGUGUGUGUGUGUGUGUGUGUGUGUGUGU
rnacentral:lncRNA from 1 species